rnacentral:lncRNA from 1 species
CGAGCUUCUUUGGCAAGCUCCGAUCUUUCUCGGUGAGCUCCGUGAACUUCUGACGAACCUUUUGGCGAGCUUCCGAAAAACCCUUCGGCAAGCUCCCUACUCAUUCUCGGCUAGUUCCGGUAGCAUUCCCGACGAGCCUUCGGACUUCCAUCGAACUCUCGAACUCCCAACGAAUCCUUCGUGCUUGACUCCGGCACUUUGUUUCGCUUUAUGUCUUCAUCGUUAUCGUAGUUAAUCCUGCACACACAAGCCAAAACUCUACUCCGAUCUAGACAAUUAUUACAACGCGAAUUGACAUUCUGUUGCCCGGCACGUCAUUGGUUGGCGCUUCGUCCGAUUCUUCGAUGCAUCGUCCUCUCUUGCGGCUUGUUGCCCAAUCGGCGGUUGACCUCCGCAACCCCGAUAUCCUUGGCGCAAUUCCGCUCUCCUUGGCCCG